UUCAUUUUAGAUAUCAAAAGGGUUUUGCGGCUCCCAGUGUUUUGUUUUCGGUGGGAAAUGGGUCCAAGUGGCUCUUUGAGUGUUUGGGUUGCCUAACCCUGUUCUAGCCCUUGUCUAGAACUUCUCCAUUAAAAAAAAAAAUCUGCCGUGUCUGAUAAUCAAAUGCAAUUUCUUCCUGUCUCUCUGUGUCUGUGUUUUCUAUACUCUUGCCACCACAGUUUUUGGGCCUGUUCCAAUGGGCUGCACAAAAGAGAGCCGAGGCAUCUGAAGUGUCACUCCACAUCUGUGGCAAAGAAGCGGUAUUUCCAUUUUGUUGAUGCUCUGAGCACAUGUGUGCAGCAGAAGGUGAUAUCAAAGGAGCCGUUUCCCCUCAGUUCUGCACAUUAUUUUUUCACUGCUGUGGCGAAUCUUUCUGAGCUCCAUGAACCAAUAAAACAAGAGCCCCUGUUUGAGUUGAUAUAUUAAUAUUUGCUGAGGAUUUGCAAGGUCGGGGCGAAAUGUCAGCAGAUUGCUGGGGCAGGACUGUGGGGAAUAAUUAAACAAAUCUCCCAGCACUUCAGCCUCCUGAACAUCUUUAUUAAUCUUUUGGAAACAGUAACGCUGAAACAAUUUCUGCUUUCGCAACCAUAAGCAAAGAGUCAGGAGAAGUUGCCUUAAUCAAUUCCUUGGAUUGGCGAUGUUUGCUUACUGACAGUUUCUUGGCCCCCUCCUUGGCAGAUGCUGGUGAGCCAGGAAGGCUGUCCUGGGUGAAUUAACCGCAAGCUGCUGGGAUUCUCACCUCCAAUCCAGCUCCAGGAAAAGCAGAGAAGCACUGGGGAUGGGUUUUGAGACAGGACUGUCAGGAUGGGAAGGAGAGGCAGUUUAACCUCUGAGAUCAUAAAUGGGCUGAAGAUUGGAUCUUGGCAUUGAAACCAGUGGCUGGUCCUGAAUUUUGAAAUGGGAGGAAAAAAAACACCCAUAGGGUAUUGGCCCUGAUUUUCCUGGAAGACGUCAAUUGGCUUCUGGCUUUUAGCAUUCCAGCUAAAACGGAGAGCAAAAGCUGCGGCUCAAGUUCCAUAAUUGUGGAGAAAUAUGGUGGAACCAGCCUACAUCAACAGAGAUUAAGAGAACCACAGUCAAACUUUUGGGUUAUAGCGAGCUUCCUUGACUGCAUUUGGAAGAGUCUUAGGAUUCACUGAAGCCAAUCAGCUGGUUUUUUAUUUUGUGUUAUUCAUCUUUAUUUCUCUAACCUCUGGCUUUAACAGACAUUUCCUUAAAGCAAGUUCAUUAAUUCAAUGGCAUGGUUUAAUUUUGCCCUGAAUAUGAAUGAAAUAUAUCCAUCUAGAAUGUGGAAGGAUGACUCAGCUACUUAAAGUUCACCAACCAGUUUUCCUGUAAAAGUUCUGUGGAACACUUACUGAAACUUGAGCAGGCACUCUUGGACUGAAUUUAUUACUUCAUUGCUGCUAAACAAAUUAUGACUGGGCCACAAAAGAAAGAAGAAGCAGUGACUUGGAUCCAGAGCAACAGGGCGGAUUCCUCCUCAGUUACUGCAGACUGUUGGAACAUCCUUGAAUGUCUUGAGAUGGCAAAAUGGGGAAGAAUGGGGACUGGGAAAAGAUUCACUGUGUAUCCUAUUAGUGGAAAGCCUUAAUGGGAUCAUGAUGCUACAGUGAGUAUCCCAGUUUUAUUCCAACUCGGUAACAGAAGUUUGCCAACAGAAUUGGCUGCCAGUCCAAUUCUUUGUUCGGUCCAAAUAAUUAAUUUUCAUAUUUAGAACCCAUUAGAGUUUGCAACCAGAUUAAGGAAGGAAGGACGGGAUGCCUUCUAGGAGCUGACCAAUUUAGCAAACAGGGCCAGAGGAUUUUUUGCCCAAUGAGACAUUAGGACACUUGAGCCAAUCACUGAAAGGGAUUAUAUGCCCAGAUGUAUAUGUGUGUGUAGACCAUAUGCACAGAGUCACAAUUCAGGAAAGGUUUUAAAAAAGAAACUAUUAAUUACUUUAAAGGGAAAGAAGAAGAAUUUUGAACUACUUAACAUUAUUUCUACUUGAUUCUAUCUGUAGAAACAAUGAUUUUAUGUACAUUUCAUUUCAUGUGCAGGCUUUUUAAAAGCUUUCAGGAAUAAUGUGAUAUAUUAAUGUUAUAUUGAUAAUAUUCUUGUCAGCAAUACUGUUCAAUAAAUUUGCAGUCUUUUUGUAACAAA